rnacentral:rRNA from 1 species
AGUGAACGCUGGCGGUAGGCCUAACACAUGCAAGUCGAACGGCAGCACAGUAAGAGCUUGCUCUUACGGGUGGCGAGUGGCGGACGGGUGAGGAAUACAUCGGAAUCUACUUUUUCGUGGGGGAUAACGUAGGGAAACUUACGCUAAUACCGCAUACGACCUACGGGUGAAAGCAGGGGAUCUUCGGACCUUGCGCGAUUGAAUGAGCCGAUGUCGGAUUAGCUAGUUGGCGGGGUAAAGGCCCACCAAGGCGACGAUGCGUAGCUGGUCUGAGAGGAUGAUCGGCCACACUGGAACUGAGACACGGUCCAGACUCCUACGGGAGGCAGCAGUAGGGAAUAUUGGACAAUGGGCGCAAGCCUGACCCAGCAAUACCGCGUGAGUGAAGAAGGCCUUCGGGUUGUAAAGCCCUUUUGUUGGGAAAGAAAAGCAGCAGGUUAAAACCCCGCUGUUCUGACGGUACCCAAAGAAAAAGCACCGGCUAACUUCGUG